AAAAAAGCCUUUGGAAAUUGUGGAGUCUAAGUUUCAGGAAUUAAGAAAUAAGAAAGUGAAAAUGUUUAAAGUAAUUUGGGGAAAUCAAACUGUAGAAGAAGCCACGUGGGAACUGGAAGAAGUAAUGAAAGAGAAGUAUCCCGAGUUGUUUCAGCAUCAAAUCUGAUUCCGAGGUCGGAAUCCUUUAAACGAGGGAAGAAUGUAACAACCGUAAAAUUUCAAGUACGUAAACAAAUUAAUUAUUUAAUUUUAUGCGGUUAAAGCUAUCAUUUAAAUAAUUGUGAAAUUAUUAUUUAAUAAAAAUAUUGGUACGUAAAACAUUUCAGGCUAGUACGAGGUUUGUUUAUAUCGGCUAGCAAAUUAAAUCCAUUUUCGUACCAUUAGGAUCUAAAUGUUGGCCACGUAAAUAAAUUGGUAGAUGUAUAAUUUUGUUAUGGCCCGGGAAUAUUAUAAAUUUUACGGGUUUAGCUAAAAGAAAUAUUUCGUUAUAACUAUUAAAUUUUGAAAUAUUUAGAGAAAUACUAGAAUAAUUAUUUAAUUAAUUAUUUAGUAUAAUCCCGAAUGAUAUUUUUUAUUAAAAUAUUUAAAUAGGAAGUUGUUAAAUGACCC
rnacentral:lncRNA from 1 species